rnacentral:rRNA from 1 species
UACGUAGGGGGCUAGCGUUGUCCGGAAUCAUUGGGCGUAAAGCGCGCGUAGGCGGCCCGUUAAGUCUGCUGUGAAAGUCCAGGGCUCAACCCUGGAAUGCCGGUGGAUACUGGCGGGCUAGAGUUCGGAAGAGGCAAGUGGAAUUCCUGGUGUAGCGGUGGAAUGCGCAGAUAUCAGGAGGAACACCUAUAGCGAAGGCAGCUUGCUGGGACGACACUGACGCUGAGGCGCGAAAGCGUGGGGAGCGAACAGG